rnacentral:rRNA from 1 species
AACGAUGAAGUUCCUUCGGGAAUGGAUUAGUGGCGAACGGGUGAGGAACACGUGAGAAACCUGCCUUUCAUUCUGGGAUAACACCGGGAAACCGGUGCUAAUACCGGAUACUCCAUCUUGGCGGCAUCGCCGAGCUGGGAAAAAAUUUUGAUGAAAGAUGGUCUCGCGGCCUAUCAGCUAGUUGGUGAGGUAAAGGCUCACCAAGGCGACGACGGGUAGCCGGCCUGAGAGGGCGACCGGCCACACUGGGACUGAGACACGGCCCAGACUCCUACGGGAGGCAGCAGUAGGGAAUAUUGGGCAAUGGGCGAAAGCCUGACCCAGCGACGCCGCGUGAGGGAUGAAGGUCUUCGGAUUGUAAACCUCUUUCAGUAGGGAAGAAGCGAGAGUGACGGUACCUAAAGAAGAAGCACCGGCUAACUAUGUGCCAGCAGCCGCGGUAAUACAUAGGGUGCAAGCGUUGUCCGGAAUUAUUGGGCGUAAAGAGCUCGUAGGUCGUUUGUCGCGUCGAUUGUGAAAAUCUGAGGCUCAACCUCAGACCUGCAGUCGAUACGGGCAAACUAGAGUGUGGUAGGGGAGACUGGAAUUCCUGGUGUAGCGGUGGAAUGCGCAGAUAUCAGGAGGAACACCA